UCCAUCUUCAUUGUCUAACACAUCAGUAAUCCCCCAAAAUGGAAGUGGUAGGACUCCUGACCCUCGAGAGGACUGCUUGUGCUCAGAUGUGUGUGCAAGGAAGGUUCUUCUGGAAAUAUCCCUCUCCUGACCAGGAGUCACUUGUCUAGGGAGAAGACUUGGUGAUGAGCAGGGAGAUAAAAGGACGCAGUGAUGAAUAAAACAGAGGGGAAAAUGAAAAUGCAACGCAAAGCCCCCUGGUUCUACAUACAAGCCAAGGUACAUCUGCCAAUAAAAGCAGGGAAAUGGGGAACAAAGGAUGUCAUAGCAACCUCAACGAACCCUGUUGUGCUACCGACUGCAGCGUCCCGGACAUCCACCAGGAAGCCUCCAGUGCCAAACCAGGUCUCUUCUUUAUUAAUAGACCAUCAUUUCUUUCUACUUUCUUGUGGUUUGAGUGGGGGAAAUACUGUGACAUUCAGAACGUAACAGGAAAGAUGAGUGUUUCACCAUCAAGACUUGGAACGCAGUGGAAAAUAAAAGAGAACUUUUGCAGGAAGCUAAUGGAGAUAUUGACAUGUGUGUCUGGAAAUCUAAACUUAGUAAAGUGUAAGGCAAGAACAGGCUUUCUCACUUUAUUUCUGUAUCUGAAAAGUUUCAGCGGCUGGUACCAUAUGAAUAUUUAUUAAUGCAUUGUGAAUCAGAACCUGUGAUUAUUACUCAAACUAUCUUUUUACCUUGCAAGCUUCAACUCAGAAGAAUAAAAACACAUCUGCUUUUGCUCUUCCCAUAUUUUAUUCAAUGUUUUAACAGCUUUGCUGUAAAUAUCUCAUCCAUUACGAUUUAGUUGUGACUAUAUCGGCUUCACGUCUCCUGUUUUAUUACUGUCAUCACAGUGAAACAACAUACUGUUAAUUCUGUUAACUAACAAGUUCAUUGUUUGAGCUAGUCAGCGAUCUCUCAUUUGUUGGGUCCACAUGUUAAAAGAGAAUUGGUUAUAAAUCAAAGAAGGGCCUGAGUGAGGCGUGUUCCCUUUGUUCAGAUGAGUGGGUCUCUAUUUGAGAUUGUCAUUUAAUAUGCUGUCAUGGAAGAAAUGACUAAAUCUGAAGAUAGGGCCAAAUCCAAUCGUAUUAGAUGAAGAGGCUGCACAACCCUCAAGGAAUUCAGCUCUAAAAUAUGCAAGCGUACUUAGAGCUGCAGAUUCUCUGCAUGAAACCUGUACUUCCUUUAUAAUUCCCAUUCAAUUUAGACCUUCCAAGCCUACCUUCUUCUAGAUCCUUACAGAGGAAACUUGCUAAUAUUUUUCCCUCUCAAUGUGAAAACUGAGUCAGUGAGGUCUGAUGGUUAAGAAUGUGGACUUCAAAUCCAGCAUGCUGGUUUGCUUUCCACUCUGCCAUUUCUGAGUUGUAGGGAUUUGAAUGAUUUAGUUAGCAACCUGAUCUGUAAAACGGGAGAGCAACAACACCUACCUCACUGGGUGGUUGUGACAAUUAAAUGAGGAAAUGUCUAUAUACUUCAGUAUCAGUCAGGACUCAGUAUAGGACAUCAGAAUCACUCCAGAUAUUUCAACCCUAUAAUGAGUUAAUUCAGGUAUCAGGUAUGUACCAGUUACCUACUACUAUGAUAAUACUGGGAAACACAUGCCUGAAUACACACACAAAUAUACAGCGGCUUAAAAUAAUGAGUUUGUAUUUAAAUCACAGACCUGCAAGUCAGAGACUUGGGCUACGCUGGGCUGUGCUGGGCUGGGCUGGGCAGUUCUUCUGGUGAUGCUAUGUUCGCUCUAUGUCUUGUUGGCUGUUGGCUGAUUACACCUGAGUUAAAUGUGUAAUUCUCCAUCGGGACAGCCUGGACUUUUUUGUGGCAGAGACAGAGGAACAAAAGGACCUCUUCUUGUGUGCGUGUGGUUGGUUAACAUCCCACUGGCCAAAGUGGGUUACAUGCUAGGUCCACAAGCCGUGGUUGGGAUAGAUAUAAUACCCCACACAGAGUGCCUGGUUCUUAGAAUUACCAACCAUCCUGGAUUUCCAGGGCUAGAGGAGUUUUCCAGGAAGCAGGAAUUUCAGUACAAAAACUGGGAACAUCAUAGACAAACUGGGACCAAUUGAUCACCCUGCUGGUGCUGCAAAUUUAUGCUGCAAGGGCACAGAGGCACUGAUGGCUGAAGAGUUGGGGCCUUAUAAAAUGGGCUGAGAAAUUACCUACCCAAUUGUUGGAAAAAUUGAAAGGGGGACUGUUUGUUUGCAGGUCAUGGCACUGUUGUUGUUGCUAUAAUGCUUCUCUUAUCAUUUUCACUGCCUCUCACCCACGAAACCAGCCACCAGACACUGGAACAUGGUGUCAGGCUGACAGGGAAUCUUUCUGUGAGUGCUUGCUUGCUCAUCUACUAUCAGUCACAAAUAACUCUCACCUUCCCAAUCUCCUAUGAGAAUAGUUAAUGAAGAGUCUAACUCCAACCCAGAACGCUGGCUACAGUGAAUCUGGAAAACAUGGUACCAUAUUAAUACGUCCAAAAAAGAGGGGAAAAUGAAGUGUGAGAAACUGGGUCCAAGCAUCUAAUGCAAAGAUUUAUGUGAACACCUGACUCAUGGAAGGCGCUAACAGUUGGGGUGGUAUUCAAAUUCAUUGAUAUCACCUGGUACUAAUUCUAUAGGUAUAUAGUAGCCAUGUCCCUGGCUCAGCUAAAAGUAUAGAUGGGAAGGUUACACUCUAAGAUAUCUGAUUCCUUAAAGGCUACUCUCAAAAGGAAAGAAUUAUUACAAAGAAAAUGAUUUUUUAUACAUUUCAACUACCAAGGACAAUUGGGAAAUUUUUUAAAAGGAACAAACCUUUUUGUACCUUGUCUUGCUUUAGAUAUCUAAAUAUCUAAAAACAAUUUUCCUUGUUUCAAUUCCUCUUGUUCUUCUGAAAAUUAUCUAGGUAUUCUUGGCCUCUGAAAGGUUUUGCUUAAAUUCUGGGUGAAGAUUUUUGUCAGUCUGCAUCACUGUAGCCCAGCUGACUUCCUAUUAUCACACACUUUAUGAAAUAAACAAGGAAGAAGAAUGAGUUCUGAGGGCAUUUGAAAUGGGUACCAUAGAUCUUGACCUAUAUCAGAAAGGGAAGGGAAGGCGAGGGAAGGGGAAGGGAGGGGAGGGGAGGGGAAAGGAAGACAGAGGGAGGGAGGGAGGAAAGAAGGGAGGAAAGGAAGGAAGGAAGGAAGGAAGGAAGGAAGGAAGGAAGGAAGGAAGGAAGGAAGGAAGGAAGGAAGGAAGGAAGGAACCUCAUCUUAAGAAGGUCAUUUGGGUCUACUGAUUUCAAAAUACAAAUGAGCUGAAUUUAUUAGAAACAAAUUCUGGUUCAUUAGAACUAAUUUUUCUAAGAUACAUUCCUUAAGGAAACAUACCUUAGUUGUGAUUCUAAAUCUGUCUCCUGAGAAAUCUCGGAUGCCUGCUGAUCAUUUUGAAUUCCUUGCCGCCCUCAACUUUCUGGCUGCAUGUAAGAAAUCAUUUUAAAUGAAUUGAAUAAAAUUCACAAGUGUUAUAUGCCAGCAAAUGAUGAACUCACAGGAAAUAUGACUCAAAUCCACUUUUUUCAUUUUGUUUUUUCUCAUAAUAAAUAGAAAUGAACAAAUGUGGCUUUAAUGACAUCUUGGAGUGAGAG
rnacentral:lncRNA from 1 species